AGGCCCACCAUGCUCUUAACCCUGUCAAUGUAGAAUUCGGGAGCAAUUAUUUUCCUCUGAUGAGCCCAUAAUGGUCCACUGCUUGACAUAAUGCUUUGACCCAGUAAAGGUCCACGAUCUUUAGCCAAAUAAGAAGGCUUCCCCAGGUUAAAAGAUGUAUAGAGGCUUAUUUCCUUCACCAUAUCUGUAUCUACUGUGCACAAUAGCUGUAUGUUUCCAGUUGAAUACAUGAACGUUGG
rnacentral:misc_RNA from 1 species